rnacentral:rRNA from 1 species
UACGAAGGGGGCUAGCGUUGCUCGGAAUCACUGGGCGUAAAGCGCACGUAGGCGGCUUCUUAAGUCAGGGGUGAAAUCCUGGAGCUCAACUCCAGAACUGCCUUUGAUACUGAGAAGCUUGAGUCCGGGAGAGGUGAGUGGAACUGCGAGUGUAGAGGUGAAAUUCGUAGAUAUUCGCAAGAACACCAGUGGCGAAGGCAGCUCACUGGCCCGGUACUGACGCUGAGGUGCGAAAGCGUGGGGAGCAAACAGG